GCCUGGCUGGCUCAGUGGGUAGAGCAUGUGACUCUUGACCUUAGGAUCGUGAGUUCAAACCCACGUUGGACA
rnacentral:tRNA from 1 species